GUCACAUCCCCCCGUCUGUCGCAGAUCCGCCAAGAUUCCAGCGAUAACGGGGGUUUGUUUUU
rnacentral:antisense_RNA from 1 species